UUCGUGGAGGAUUGCUCCAUUUGUAAAGAGGUUGCUAGCACCACUGUGAAGCUAGAAGACAGUGGAAAAUCUCAAGUGAAGCUUGAGGAGUGGACGUAGGCUGAGUUGAAACCGAACCAUUAUAAAUUUGUCUGCCUCUCUCUUCCUUAUCUCUUUAUUUUAUUUUAAAUUGCCAUAGCUAUAUUUCACAUUUUUUACUGUGCUAAAAUCAUUAACUGACAUAGUUGUUAAGACACUUGUUUUAAUUAUUUUUAUUUCAUUAAUUAUAUUUAUCUAUUGUGCUAGUCAUAAUUUUUAUUAGGGUAUUAUUAAUUUUAAUUGUAAAAACCUAAUUCACCCCCCUCUUAAGUUGUCUUUUGGGUAACAAAUCAAACAGCUUCUGUGAACUAGUUUGUAUCUCUCUAUCUGAUUGAUUAGGGUAAAUGAUUUAUUUUCAUUUUAUAUUGUUGGGUUUGAUUUAUGUGGUGCUUUUGGGGAAUCUCUUUUGCCAAAAAAAAACCCUUGUCGAUUGUUAACUUCCGAAAUAGUCCCUUAUUUCAUUUUCUAAAUUUUUGAAAAGGAACUACCUAAGUUUUUGAAUUGCUAAUCAAACAGUUUCUGGCUUGCUAAUGUUUUUUCUUGCUAAUCGACUGUGAACUAGCAAGCAAAACAACAACGGGAUGCAGUAAAAAAAGGACUCCAAAGAAGCAAGGUUUGACAUCCUUACAGUGAUCAAGCACUCUGUCAGUUGGAUAUGCUCCACGAACAGAAAAGGACUCCAAAAAAGCAAUGAGAACCUGUUUUUGAGGCCCUUAAUACACUUGGCAGUACCAAAUGGAGAAUAAAUAAAAGGGUUCUUCUCGUAUUAUAGACAGAAUAUGGGCUAGCAUUUUGAUAGCAAUUUGGUAGAAUAUCACAUAAGACUUUAUUAGUUUACAUCACAAUAAAUUAACUGUGGUUUCAAGAUCUGAGGGAAUUUAAUUGGGUGCAUGAAUAUUAUAUAGAUAUGGUUUGCGUGAACUUCUCAUUAUGGUCUUGCUUUUUAAGUUAUUCAUGUAUAGGAAUGGUUUGGCUGAUGGCGGUUCAUUAUAUAUAUAGGUAUGGUUUGUCUAUGACAUUUUUCUGCUUCUUUUAUUUUUUCAUUACCACGUGUCUCAUUUGUCUAUAACAUAUAUCAAGUUUUUCUGUAUCUUGAUAUAGUGACUUAUUAAUGCUUAAUGAUUAUUUAUUGAAAUCAUUAUUAGUUUCAAAUGUAUUUUUAAUUGAAUUAUAAGAUAGGCGAUAAAUUUAUUUUAUUCCCUUCCUCCAAUUCAAAACAGUAGGUAUGAUUUAACUAAUGUGUUUUUUUAGUUUUUUUUUUUUUUUUCCAGUACAUAUAGUUUGUUCCAUUGUUUGUUUGUUUCAUUUUUUAUUAUGAACAUGGGGUUGUUUGUUUCAUUUUUUUUGGGAAUGUUCCAUCGUAUUUUCAAUGUGUUGGGUUAAUUUUACUUGAUAGUUAGUAUAAAUUGUUGAUUAAAUAGUUUUUUUUUUUUGGGAUUCGGUGAUAGACCCUUCACUGUCUAAUUUGUCUUUCAAAAUGACAAGAAUUAUAUAGGAACUUUCAAAACUCCCUAAUAUUUUAAAAUUUGUUUCUUUACUAUAUUACUCUCAUAUUUAUCAAC